rnacentral:rRNA from 1 species
GCUUACGGCCACACCGCCUGGUUCACGCCCGAUCUCGUUUUGAUCUCGGAAGCUAAGAUAGGUUGGGCCUGGUUAGUACUUGGAUGGGAGACCGCCUGGGAAUACCAGGUGCUGUAAGUU